rnacentral:rRNA from 1 species
UACGGAGGAUGCGAGCGUUAUCCGGAUUUAUUGGGUUUAAAGGGUGCGUAGGCGGGAUGCCAAGUCAGCGGUAAAAAUGCGGUGCUCAACGCCGUCGAGCCGUUGAAACUGGCGUUCUUGAGUGGGCGAGAAGUAUGCGGAAUGCGUGGUGUAGCGGUGAAAUGCAUAGAUAUCACGCAGAACUCCGAUUGCGAAGGCAGCAUACCGGCGCCCUACUGACGAUGAGGCACGAAAGCGUGGGUAUCGAACAGG